AAACCUGCUUUCUACUGCACCUCACUAUAGAAACCUGCUGUCUACUGCACCUCACUAUAGAAACCUGCUGUCUACUGCACCUCACUAUAGAAACCUGCUGUCUACUGCACCUCACUAUAGAAACCUGCUGUCUACUGCACCUCACUAUUGAAACCUGCUGUCUACCGCACCUCACUAUAGAACUAUCUGCCUGUACCAGAGAUAUAGACACACAAACCUGCUGCCUGUACCAGAGAUAUAGACACACAAACUUGCUGCCUGUACCAGAGAUAUAGACACACAAACCUGCUGCCUGUACCAGAGAUAUAGACACACAAACUUGCUGCCUGUACCAGAGAUAAAGAAAUUCAGUUACUGUGUUAUUGGGCCGGUUUCCAGGACACAGAUUAAGCCUGGUCCUGAACUAAAAAGCAUGCUAAAUUUAAGAAUCUCUCUUUAAAUAGCUUUUUAGUCCAGGAAUAUAGGCUUAAUUGGUGUCUGGGAAUACAGACCCUGUGUCAUUGGGCUGGUUUCCCAGGCACAGAUUAAGCCUUGUCCUGGUCUAAUGGAGAAUUCAAUAGUCAAUGAAGAAAUACCUUUUUUAGUCCAGAACUAGGAUGAAUCUGUAUCUGGGAAACCAGCCUUUAGAGUUUGCCCCCCCCCCCAGUUACAGUGUUAUUGGGCGGAGUAUCCUAGACACAGAUAACGUCUAGUCUUUGACUAACAAAACACUAUUGGUUUAAUGUUGCUCUGGAAACCAGUUCAUACUAUGUCUCAGAGCUGAGCCCCCUCCCAGCCUAGGUUUCAGCCCUCAGUCAGACAGGGCUGGGCUGGGAUAUUACCAGUAGGAUUUCCAGGCUCUGGUAAUGAUAUCCAGAUGAGAUUUGUAUUUAGCCAUGUUCACACAUUGGUGACAUUUACAGUCUCAGAUAAUAUGGAGAAGGCCUUCAGAAAGUAUUCAUACUCCUUGACUUAUACUACGGUUUGUUGUUACAGAUACAAUUCAAAAUGGAUAUAUAUAUAUAUAUAUUUUAAAUCUCACCCAUCUACACACAAUACCCCACAAUAACAAGGUGAAAACAUGUUUCUUUUAAACAUUUUUGCAAAUGUAUUGAAAAUUAAUUUCCAAAAUCUAAUUUACAUAAGUAUUCACACCCCCUGAGUCAAUACGUGUUAGAAUCACAGUUGGCAGCGAUUACAGCUGUGACUCUUUCUGUGUAAGUCUCUAAGAGCUUUACAUACCUGGAUUGUACAAUAUUUGGCAAUUAUUAUUUUCAAAAGUCUUGCCAUAGAUGUUCAAGCCGAUUUAAGUCAAAACUGUAACUAGGCGACUCAGGAACAUUCAAUGUUGUUUUUCUGAAAGGUGAAUUUGUCUCCCAGUGUUUGUUGGUUAAGAAGUCUGAACCAGGUUUUACUCCUGUGCUGAGCUCUAUUCCAUUUAGUUUUAAUCAUCCCAAAUCCUCCCUAGUCCUUGUCGAUGACAAGUAUACCCAUAACAUGAUGCAGCCACCGCCAUCCUUGAAAAUAUGAAGAGUGGUACUCAGUGAUGUGUUGUGUUGGAUUUGACCCAAAUAUAACACUUUGUAUUCAGGACAUAAAGGUCAUUUCUGUGCCACAUUUUUUUUUUACAGUUUUCAUUUUGUGCCUUGUUGCAAACAGGAUGCAUGUUUUGGAAUAUUUUUUAUUCUGUACAGGCUUCCUUCUUUUCAUUCUAUCAUUUAGGUUAGUAUUGUGGAGUAACUACAAUGUUGUUGAUCCAUCAUCCGUUUUCUCUUAACACAGCCAUUAAACUCUGUAACUGUUUUAAAAUCACCAUUGACAUCAUGGUGAAACCUCUGAGCGGUUUCCUUCCUCCCUGGCAACUGAGUUAGGAAGGACACCUGUAUCUUUGUAGUGACUGGGUGUAUUGAUACACCAUCCAAAGUGUAAUUAAUAACCACCAUGCUCAAAGGGAUAUUCAUUGUCUGUUUUUUGUGUGUUUUCUUUGACCCAUCUACCAAUAGGUGCCGUCCCUGGUCUUUGUGGUUGAAUCUGUGUUUAAAAUUCACUGCUCGACUGAGGGACCUCACAGAUAAUUGUAUGUGUGGGGAACAGAAAUGAGAUAGUCACUCAAACAUCAGGUUAAACACUAUUAUUGCACAAAGCGUGAGUCAAUGCAACUUAUUAUGUGCCUUGUUAAGCAUAUUUUUUUUUACUCCUGAACUUAUUUAGGUCAUAACAAAGGAGUUAAAUACUUAUUGACUAGAGGCAUUUCAGAUUUGUAUUUUUUAAAAUUAAUUUGUAAAAAUGUCUAUAAACACGUUUCAUCUUUGACAUCAUGGAGUAUCGUGUGCAGGCCAGCGACACAACAUCUACACUUAACCCAUUUUUUAAUUCAGGCUGUGACCCCCCAAAAAAUGUAGAGAAAGUCUAGGGGGGAAUACUUUCUGAGGGCCCUGAAUGUCAGGAAGGUCACUGUAAAGAUCAUAUGUUUUAUUUAUUUUACCUUUAUUUAACUAGUCAGUUUAAGAACAAAUUCUUAUUUUCAAUGACGGCCUAGGAACAGUGGGUUAACUUCCUGUUCAGGGGCAGAAUGACAGAUUUGUACCUUGUCAGCUCGGGGAUUUGAACAUGAAACCUUUCGGUUACUAGUCCAACGCUCUAACCACUAGGCUACCCUGCCCUGCCCUCUAACCACCAGGGUACCCUGCCCUGCCCUCUAACCACCAGGGUACCCUACCCUGCCCUCUAACCACCAGGCUACCCUACCCUGCCCUCUAACCACCAGGCUACCCUACCCUGCCCUCUAACCACCAGGCUACCCUACCCUGCCCUCUAACCACCAGGCUACCCUGCCCUGCCCUCUAACCACCAGGGUACCCUACCCUGCCCUCUAACCACCAGGCUACCCUGCCCUGCCCUCUAACCACCAGGGUACCCUGCCCUGCCUCUAACCACCAGGGUACCCUACCCUGCCCUCUAACCACCAGGCUACCCUACCCUGCCCUCUAACCACCAGGCUACCCUACCCUGCCCUCUAACCACCAGGCUACCCUGCCCUGCCCUCUAACCACCAGGCUACCCUGCCCUGCCCUCUAACCACCAGGGUACCCUACCCUGCCCUCUAACCACCAGGCUACCCUGCCCUGCCCUCUAACCACCAGGGUACCCUACCCUGCCCUCUAACCACCAGGGCACCCUACCCUGCCCUCUAACCACCAGGCUACCCUGCCCUGCCCUCUAACCACCAGGGUACCCUACCCUGCCCUCUAACCACCAGGGCACCCUACCCUGCCCUCUAACCACCAGGGUACCCUGCCCUGCCCUCUAACCACCAGGGUACCCUGCCCUGCCCUCUAACCACCAGGGUACCCUGCCCUGCCCUCUAACCACCAGGGACCCUACCCUGCCCUCUAACCACCAGGCUACCCUGCCCUGUUCAUAUAUUGUAGACACAUAGAGAAAUCACACACAAUGUUAUUGUCAGAAGGUUACAACAUAGAUUACUAGACGUGAAACAAAAACAAUAUCUAUGUACCAUAUAUGUACUGAGUAAAAAAUAAAUAUUUAGUUUGAAAUAUAUGUAUUUUGCUGUAUAAAUCAUUUUUAAAUGAAAGAAAGGACAAGAAUGGCAUCACAUUGUCUCUCAGUAACACGGUUACACAUUGUCUCUCAGUAACACGGUUACACAUUGUCUCUCAGUAACACGGUUACACAUUGUCUCUCAGUAACACGGUUACACAUUGUCUCUCAGUAACACGGUUACACAUUGUCUCUCAGUAACACGGUUACACAUUGUCUCUCAGUAACACAGUUACACAUUGUCUCUCAGUAACACGGUUACACAUUGUCUCUCAGUAACACGGUUACACAUUGUCUCUCAGUAACACAGUUACAGAGCAUCCGGAAAGUUUUCAGACCCCUUGACCUUUUCCACACUUCGUUACGUCACAGCCUUUUAUUAUGAAAUAGAUUAAAUCGUUAUUUUCAAUCAUUAAUCGACACACAAUACCCCAUAAUGACAUCACAAUACCCCAUAAUGACAUCACAAUACCCCAUAAUGACAUCACAAUACCCCAUAAUGACAAAGCAAAAAACUUUUUUUUAGAAAUGUUUGCAAAUGUAUUACAAAUAAAAAGCUAAUAUCACAUUUACAUCAGUAUUCAGAAGCUUUACUCAGUACUUUGUUGAAGCACGUUUGGCAGCGAUUACAGCCAUUAGUCUUCUUGUGUAUGACGCUACAAUCUUGGCACACUUGUAUUUGGGGAGUUUCUCCCAUUCUUCUCUGCAGAUCCUCUCAAGCUCUGUCAGGUUGGAUGGGGAGCAUCGCUGCACAGCUAUUUUCAGGUCUCUCCAGAGAUGUUAAAGUCCAGGCUCUGGCUGGGCCACUCAAUGACAUUCAAUGACAUUCAGAGACUUGUCACAAAGCCACUCCUGCAUUGUCUUGGCUGUGUGCUUAUGGGCAUUAUCCUGUUGGAAGAUGAACCUUCGCCCCAGUCUGAGGUCCAGAGCGCUCUGGAGCAGGUUUUCAUCAAGGAUCUCUCUGUACUUUGCUCCGUUCAUCUUUGCCUCGAUCCUGACUAGUCUCUCAGUACCUGCUGCAGAAAAACAUCCCCACAGCAUGAUGCUGCCACCACCAUGCUUCACCGUAGGGAUGGUGCCAGGUUCCCUCCAGACAUGAUGCUGCCACCACCAUGCUUCACCGUAGGGAUGGUGCCAGGUUUCCUCCAGACAUGAUGCUUGGAAUUCAGGCCAAAGAGUUCAAUCUUGGUUUCAUCAGACCAGAGAAUCUUGUUUCUCAUGGUCUGAGAGUCCUUAGGUGCCUUUUGGCAAAGUCCAAACGGGCUGUCAUGUGCCUUUUACUGAGGAGUGGCUUCCGUCUGGCCACUCUACCAUAAAGGCCUGAUUUGCUGGAGUGCUGCAGAGAUGGUUGUCCUUCUGGAAGGUUCUCCCAUCUCCACAGAGGAACUCUGGAGCUCUGUCAGAGUGACCAUCAGGUUCUUGGUCACCUCCCUGACCAAGGCCCUUCUCCCCCGAUUGCUCAGUUUGGCUGGGCGGCUCUAGGAAGAGCCUUGGUGGUUCCAAACGUCCUCCAUUUAAGAAUGAUGGAGGUCCCUGUGUUCUUGGGGACAUUUAAUGCUACAGACAUAUUUUGGUACCCUUCCCCAGAUCUGUGCCUCGACACAAUCCUGUCUCGUAGCUCUACGGACAAUUCCUUUGACCUCAUGGCUUGGUUUUGCCCUGACAUCUGUGGGACCUUUAUAUAAACAGGUUUGGGCCUUUCCAAAUCAUGUCAAAUCAAUGUAAUUUACCACUGGUGGACUCCAUCAAGUUGUAGAAACAUCUCAAGGAAGAUCAAUGGGAACAGGAUGAACCUGAGCUCAAUUUCGAGUCUCAUAACAAAGGGUCUGAAUACGUAUGUAAAUAAGAUAUUUCUAUAGUUUAUUUGUAAUAAAUGUGCAAACAAUUUCAAACCUGU
ensembl:lncRNA